GAACGCCGCAGCGUCCAUCAUCAGCUUGCCUAAGCCGGGGGAGAGGGUCUCCUUACCCUGACCCCCUUCUUUAAGGACCCACGAGCUGAUUCAGAGUAAGAAGCCUUGGCUAUGGGGCCGUCAUAGGCACAUGCGCACACGUGUGCACACACAAUGUCACAAUUGAUGGUGUCCACGAGUAGCCGAAACAGAAAGCCCAUUCUUGUGAUGGAAGGAGGUGGGGGAAAGGCGUUCUGGAAACACCUCGGUCUGGUGUGAACACAGAGCCUAGGUGAGCUCAUAAAUCCCCAUCCUGAUGCCCAAUAGGGGGCUGGGUGGUGACGGGACCCAGUGCUAACGAGAAAUGUGGCUGGUGGGAUGGGGCCACACCACAGCCAGGGACACAGGAGGCCUGGUCGGUGGUCAGCAGGCCUGGGGCCCACCUGCUUAGGCUGAGAGGGAGGUGGGAGGACAGGAAACGAAGGAGGAUGGGAGGGUUGGGGUGGGGGAAGAGUGAGGGGAGAGAGAGAGAGGCUGCUGCUUGGAGAAACAGGCAACUCUUGGCAGCCAUUCCUCCAAGAUGGAAGCCAGCCUCUCUCCUAAACUCGCAGAGAGAGACAGAGAGCAAGGGUGGGCUGUCUGGGGCUUGUCUCUGGAAGAAGCUGGAGGGGGCGGUGGCUCUUAGCGCCCGCCUGACUGUGGUUUCACUGGAUGGUUCUCAGGCAGUGGGGUGUGCUGGGGGAGAGAUGAGGGCCAGGGUCCCAGGGUCUCAGACAGCCCCAAGAGCAUGGCCCAGAAUUCAGAUGCGGCAAGAGGACCCUGUGACCCGGUGGGACUCUGAUGGCAGAAGAAGGCCCGGGACACGUGGAGUCCACGCCUGGGGGGCUCUGCUUUUGUGUCAGUGCUGGGCAGAUCUGAGGAAUGCAACACGCUGGAAAAAGAGUCACCAAAUUCCACACUUUGUAGCCUCUUGGGGCCACAGACACCUUCAAAAAUCUAGUAAAAGCCACAGACCAGAAAUCACAGAGACAACCCAAAUACCAUGUGGAAGCCCCCAGGGGUCACAGACCCUCUCCCUCCAAAAGCUCCAGUCACCCAGAUGCCCUGCAAACAUGGAGGCUCACAGAUCAUCUCCCCCUAAACACCAAGACACCGGGAUGCUGUGGCGCUCCUGGGGUGCACUGACCAUCUCCCCCAAAGCAUCCAGACCCCAGAUGCCGUGGAGCUCUGAGGGAGCGCACAGCCCUCGGCAGCCAGCCCACAGCCCAGGUUCCAGAGUUCUGCCAUCUCUGCUGUGGAGUUUCCCCUUAGUUCUCUCUCUCUCCUUCGUUCCCUCCUCCCCUUCCUUCCUAUUCCUAUUUUCUUUAUUCUUUGGGCAGGGUCUUCACUUGGGUGGGGAGCGACCUCCCAGCAGCGUCUAUGAACAUUGAAGAAAACUUUGGUUGAGACAGGGAAGCAAAGAGGAGUUUCCAUCUGACCGUGCGCAGUGCCCAAGCUUCUCAAGGUCCCCUGGGGUGGGACUUAUGCAUCCUGAUCUCACACCAGUGGAGGACAGGGGCCACACAAGCCCGGGCCUUGAGGCUGUGCUGUGCCCUCUGCCACAGGAGUGGUCCCUGCCCCUUCCUGCAACCUGCACACAGCGUGCUCUUGGUGUGUCCCCAAACUCGGCCCCGUCACUGCUCUCCCAGCAGCCUGGGGGUGUUGGGGCCUGGGCUUCCUCUCUGGCAUGUGGCUCGUCCUUCGUGGCACCUCUGAGGUUUGGCUUGUGAGCCAUGGGCUGCAGCCCUGACCGUCAGAAAUAAAGGAGCACACUGGUGACGCAGACCCAGGU
rnacentral:lncRNA from 1 species